GAUGAACGCUGGCGGCGUGCCUAAUACAUGCAAGUCGAGCGAACAGACGAGGAGCUUGCUCCUUUGACGUUAGCGGCGGACGGGUGAGUAACACGUGGGUAACCUACCUAUAAGACUGGGAUAACUUCGGGAAACCGGAGCUAAUACCGGAUAAUAUUUCGAACCGCAUGGUUCGAUAGUGAAAGAUGGCUUUGCUAUCACUUAUAGAUGGACCUGCGCCGUAUUAGCUAGUUGGUAAGGUAACGGCUUACCAAGGCAACGAUACGUAGCCGACCUGAGAGGGUGAUCGGCCACACUGGAACUGAGACACGGUCCAGACUCCUACGGGAGGCAGCAGUAGGGAAUCUUCCGCAAUGGGCGAAAGCCUGACGGAGCAACGCCGCGUGAGUGAUGAAGGUCUUCGGAUCGUAAAACUCUGUUAUUAGGGAAGAACAACCGUGUAAGUAACUGUGCCCGUCUUGACGGUACCUAAUCAGAAAGCCACGGCUAACUACGUG
rnacentral:rRNA from 1 species